GGAGGCAAAUGAUGUUAAAACAAAAUCUUAUACUACACACUGAAAUUAAAUGAAGAAAACUAACUCUCAACUAGUUUUCUGAUGCCUUC